UACGGGGGGGGCAAGCGUUGUUCGGAAUUACUGGGCGUAAAGGGCUCGUAGGCGGCCAACUAAGUCAUACGUGAAAUCCCUCGGCUUAACCGGGGAACUGCGUCUGAUACUGGAUGGCUUGAGUUCGGGAGAGGGAUGCGGAAUUCCAGGUGUAGCGGUGAAAUGCGCAGAUAUCAGGAGGAACACCGGUGGCGAAGGCGGGUCUCUGGGAAGUAACUGACGCUGAGAAGCGAAAGCGUGGGUAGCGAACAGG
rnacentral:rRNA from 1 species